CAGGGUCUGUCUGCUCUAGAAACCAGUCAGGACACGGCUGAUCCUGAAGGUUGUGUUUUCUACGCCUCCAUCAGCUACACCAAGAAGACCAACAGCAGAGCCCAGGUUCGGUGUAAAAAUGAUGAUGAUGCAGUGACCUACACAACCGUGAAAGCUUCCUCCGCUGAUCCCAGUGACCUCUACGCUACCAUCAACUAAUCUGUCUAAUCUGUCAUCAGAUAUUUGCUAAUCUCUGUUAAUGUUCAUGAUCAUGUUCAGCAUGGAUUAUUGUAAACAGCUUCCUAUUCAGAAGGGCGUGUAGUAGGUUAACUAGUGUUGCAAUGUAGAAAGGGGAAGUAGUAGUUCAACAUGUAUAUAUGUGG